CCGCCGCUCCGGCCUCCGCCGCUCACUGGAGAGCCGCCGCGCGCCGCCGCCACCGCCGCGGGGGAACGAAUGCGCCGCGCGCCGCAGACUGCCCGCCGCCCCGCAUGCUCCGGUCCCGCUCCGACCUGGCGCCCCGGGAUUCGCCGGCCCCGCGCGCCGCUUCCGGGCCCUGCCGCCUGCCGGAAGUGGACACGCCGCGCGGCUCCCUGGGAAGCGGAGUCUCGGCCGCCGCCCCGCACGCGCGUCCGGGAUGCGGCGCGUGUUUGACGUCACCAGCCCGCGCCGCCCUCCGGGCGUGCCUCCCAGGGGCCCAGGAGCUCCGCUGUUGGGGCCGCAGAGGGUGUUCGCGGGGCGCCGGGGAAGGGUAGGGCUGCGGGGUCCCCGGGGCGCCGCCCCCAACCGACCACGCCUGCCAGACCACCGAGUGGGGGCCGUGUCGACGUGUGGGGAGCCUGGUGGAAGGCGGUACGGGAAUUCCGGCACUGGGCCUGCAACCCUUUUAGUCCACAGCUGUCAAAAUCUGGAGGGAAGAAAAACGAAGUGCUCAGAAGCUGAGCACCUCAUCCCGUGUGUGGAUGUUUUCCCCAGUACAAGCCCAUUGUGGGGACAGGCGCUUUUGAAGGAAGAAUUCAAAUUCCCAGGCUGAAGUGGCUCCUCACAGCCUUGAACCUGACCCCCAGCUUCCCGCUAAAGCCAGGCGUGCCCAGCACGGCGAGGUCAGCAGCGGCCCUUCGGAGGGCGGCCGUUGGAGGCCAGUGGAAGGCCCUCGGGCAGCCGGUGGAUGGUCCGGCGACCUCCCCGACUCCGUGAGAAGCGCUCAGUCCGUGCCCUUCAGCUACUGGAGCGGCUCCCGCCCUUUGGCCAGUUCUCUGGAAGGUCGUUUCGUUUUCUGUGUCUGCCACACGCGUACCACAAGCGCAUCACAAUGGAAAAUCUUGUUCCACAUUUCUGGAAAGAGUGGAUGCUGCUGAAGACCCAACAGAUUGCUGACGGUUUUCGGAGCAGGGACAAUUGCAUCAGAGUGCUGGGCUCCGGGAAAAACUCAGGAUUUGACUGACUGGCGGAUGGGACAAUGAUUGGUGCCAAGACUAGGCCAGAGAAGGAGGCCUGUCCAGAGCAGGCACCCGAGGCCGAGUGCAGGGGCAGUCCUGGGCCGCCAACCCUUGGAAGCUGGGCUAGGAGCUUCGGAGCCAUCCGAGUCUUUUUUCGCCCCUCUCACUCUCAUGCACCUAGUUACCCUCCCGACAGAGUCCUCUCACUGCGCGAUUUUCGUCUACCGCGGCAGUGGUGUCUGACUACACCCAGUGCCUCUAUCCUUCCUUCCCCUUUCAGUCUGUUCUCGCUUCUUGGCAAACCUGUCCUUGGAAAGCCCUCUGCCGACUCCAGUUACCCUGAUCAAAUGCAUCCUCCUCAACAGGCUUGUGAACGGUUUGCAGGGUGGCCCAAGAGGCAUCACGCCUUGCUCUUCAGCCACUCUUGGGGGCCCCUACAGGGCCAGGCAUCCCACACCGGCAGCGGGUGCUGGUCCUGCCACAGUCUGUGCAACAUGUGAAUGAAGGCUGUAGUCCUGUGGUCUGCGGGAGGCAAAUUCCAACUCCAGCUGUCAAACAUAAAGGGACUGGCAGGCUAUCCAGGGUGGAUGUCUCAUGGCAUCCAAAGGCAGGGACCUAGCCAGGCCUCGGGAAAGAGCUACAAACUGAGGAGCUCUGGGGUGUGGCUUCAUCUCCCUCUCCCUCCCACCCUACCCCCAUCUCUGUGUUCCUCAGAUGUCUCAUUUUCCUGUCAGGUACCUGGCCAGCUCUAGGAGCUGGAAUCAGGUUGGUACCUUCUUGGUCAGUGUCCAUCCCUAGUGUCAUCCACAGUGGCCAACGGAAGGGGUGGCUGGUGGUGCAGGACAUUUGCCAUCUUGGGAAAGAUCACAGAGGAAGGGCCUCUUUAGCUGAGCAGACGAGGUUCUGCAGUGGUCUGGACACUUUUGCACACUGGUGGGCAUCCCCCUGCCCUGUUGAGCAGACGGAGUUCUGCAGUGGUCUGGACAUAUUUGCACACUCAUGGGCAUCCCCCUGCCCUGUUGAGAAACCACAUGAGGAAAGGGACCCUUGCAUCUGUCGCCUCCCGACUCUGACCGCCAGAGGCUGGGCUGCCAGCCAGCCAUGCCAGCAUGUGACGGCACUUGACGCAAAGUCCCUGGAAAGGAUGUGGAUCAUUGCAGAACUCCCUCGAGAAAGCUCCAGAGGAGGACCCCAUUCAGUACCCCGCAGAAUUCCUCAAACUCCUGCGUCCCCCUCAACACUCCCCCAGUGUGGUGCCUGCUUCUAUCUCCCCAGGCUUAGCUGGCCUGGGUCUUGAAGGCCUCUCCUCCCGCUGUCCCCACACAGCACCCUCUCGGCCACUGCACAGCUGGAUGCAGUGAAGGCCAGGCGGCUGUGGCUGCUUGGGCAACAGGAGCUGCUUGACCCUGUUCUGCUGACUUUGUUGGCCUCACUCCCGUGGAGAGCCAAGGUUACCAUGUCCCUGAAGCUAAGGCUUUCUUUCUAGGCCUGGGGGAGUCACAUCUUGCAUUUGUACUCACUGAGCUCCACGUCUAUGGUUAGAGAAUUAUUCAACGUUUUAAAAUGUUUUUAUCAAUUCCAUCAUUUGAGGGCCCUCUAGCAAGGAACCUGUUAGUAAAUGGAGUGUCUGGAAUGUUCUAGAAAGCUCACAUGAAGAGCUGGCCCUUGCUGUCCUUAUUCAUUGAGGACUCCAAUGGCCACUCAGGAUGACAAGAAAUGCAGGCUCCAAGAGAUUUGGUUCCUUUGUGAGGCCCUCGGGCAGUGGCCAGACACGAAGGAAAUAGGAAUGGCACCUGCAAACCGCACUUCUCCCUACAGGCCAUAGCUGCUGUGCAGCCUUGGGAGGCGGGUGGAGGGAAAGAGGAGGGUAUCUGAAUGUGGAUAAUCCCUGCUGUGAGGGCUGCGGGGUGUCCUCAGACUGGAGCCCGCCCCCAGGCUCAGCUCAGCUCGGGGACCUCGCACCCAGGCUUUUCUGGGAAGGAAGGUUUUGGAUCUCCUGCCUCUCUGUAUUCAUUGACGCUGGGUUUCUCUCUCUUCGGAGCAUUCUAACA